rnacentral:rRNA from 1 species
AGCAGCCGCGGUAAUUCCAGCUCCAAUAGCGUAUAUUAAAGUUGUUGCAGUUAAAAAGCUCGUAGUUGAAUUUCGGGGUUAGUAGGUUGGUCAUGCCUCUGGUAUGUACUGGCCUCACUGGUUCCUCCUUCCUGAUGAACCGUAAUGCCAUUAAUUUGGUGUUGCGGGGAAACUGGACUGUUACUUUGAAAAAUUGAGUGUUUAAAGCAGGCUAACGCUUGAAUACAUUAGCAUGGAAUAAUGAAAUAGGACGAUCGAUCCUAUUUGUUGGUUUCUAGGAUUGACGUAAUGAUUAAUAGGGAUAGUUGGGGGCAUUAGUAUUCAAUUGUCAGAGGUGAAAUUCUUGGAUUUAUUGAAGACUAACUACUGCGAAAGCAUUUGCCAAGGAUGUUUUCAUUAA